CACGUAGGGUGCGAGCGUUGUCCGGAAUUAUUGGGCGUAAAGAGCUCGUAGGCGGCUUGUCACGUCGGGUGUGAAAGCCCGGGGCUUAACCCCGGGUCUGCAUUCGAUACGGGCUAGCUAGAGUGUGGUAGGGGAGAUCGGAAUUCCUGGUGUAGCGGUGAAAUGCGCAGAUAUCAGGAGGAACACCGGUGGCGAAGGCGGAUCUCUGGGCCAUUACUGACGCUGAGGCACGAAAGCCAGGGGAGCAAACGGG
rnacentral:rRNA from 1 species